UUCCAGUCGGACUGAAGAAGAUUUCACAUGUUGUAGCGCCACAGUCAAAAACUCCAACCCUUUCAGGCAUAGAAAUAAUUAGAAAGAGACAGAAACCUGCAUAUUUUUUGGGAAACUUUGUUUGUGACCAGUGUGGUAAGGAGAAACUUCCAAAAAGAGAGAGACCAGAAGUGGUUUUUCACCCUGAAGGAUACCGGGAAAGGUACAGGUGAGUUAUAGGUCUCUCGCACCUGAGGCUUUCAAACUUUG
rnacentral:lncRNA from 1 species